UAAUUUUAUUUUGCGCGGCGUGCAAAAGAUUCCAUUUUUANAUGAGAACUCCGAAGUUAAGCGUGCUUGGGCGAGAGUAGUACUAGGAUCGGUGACCUCCUGGGAAGUCCUCGUGUUGCAUUCC
rnacentral:rRNA from 1 species